rnacentral:SRP_RNA from 1 species
GCCGGGCACAGUGGCAUGUGCCUGUAGUUCCAGCUACUCGGGAGGCUGAGGUGGGAGGAUCGCUUGAGCCCAGGAGUUCUGCGCUGUAGUGAGCUAUGCCAAUAGGGUGUCCGCACUAAGUUCGGCAUCAAUAUGGUGACCUCCUGGGAGUGGGGGAACACCAGGUUGCCUAAGGAAGGGUGAACUGGCCCAGGUUGGAAACAGAGCAGGUCAAAACUCCUGUGCUGAUCAGUAGUGGGAUGAUGCCUGUGAAUAGCCACUGCACUACAGCCUGGGCAACAUAGCGAUACCCUAUCUUU